rnacentral:lncRNA from 1 species
UCAGAUCAUUCUGGGAACAAAAUAUGAAUUGCCCACCAUGGUUCAAAGAGGAUAAUGGUUUAAGUAUCAAGCCAAGGUGUCAUGAGAUGAAAAGCUGGGCAGAGUAAGGGAAUUAUUUUCUGACACUCCUCACAUUCUACCUUCAACUCCUAAGAAAGAAAAAAAAGACAAAAAGAGGCCUGUGUCCUACUGAGUAUUUCAGCUUCAAAAAUUAUUUCUGAGGACAAAAGCUGCACUGGGAAGAGUUGGACAGAAUUCCGGGCGUAAUGAGAUUCAUGGAAGAUCCUCUGUAUCUCUGGAAUGAAGAUGUUUCAAAUUGGAAGACAAGUCAGCUGAAUUGAGUAAGUAACAAACUUCAGAACUAGAUCUUCAUUGAGCAGCGGUUUGUAGUUCUCCUUGAAGAGGUCCUUCACGUCCCUUGUAAGUUGGAUUCCUAAGUAUUUUAUUCUCUUUGAAGCAAUUGUGAAUGGGAGUUCACUCAUGAUUUGGCUCUCUGAAAACUACUUUAAAGUUCAUAUGGAACCAAAAAAGAGCCCGCUUCACCAAGUCAAUCCUAAGCCAAAAGAACAAAGCUGGAGGCAUCACGCUACCUGACAUCAAACUAUACUACAAGGCUACAGUAACCAAAACAACAUAGUACUGGUACCAAAACAGAGAUAUAGAUCAAUGGAACAGAACAGAGCCCUCAGAAAUAACACCGUAUACCUACAACUAUCUGAUCUUUGACAAACCUGAGAAAAACUAGCAAUGGGGAAAGGAUUCCCUUUUAAUAAAUGGUGCUGGGAAAACUGGCUAGCCAUGUGUAGAAAGCUGAAAAUGGAUCCCUUCCUUACACCUUAUACAAAAAUUAAUUCAAGAUGGAUUAAAGACUUAAAUGUUAGACCUAAAACCAUAAAAACCCUAGAGGAAAACCUAGGCAAUACCAUUCAGGACAUAGGCAUGGGCAAGGACUUCAUGUCUAAAACACCAAAAGC